GAUGAACGCUGGCGGCGUGCUUAACACAUGCAAGUCGAGCGAGUGAGUUCUUUGGAACGAUCUGGCGGCGGACGGGUGAGUAACACGUGGGCAACCUGCCUCAUAGAGGGGAAUAGCCUCCCGAAAGGGAGAUUAAUACCGCAUAAAAUUAUAGAGUGGCAUCACAUGAUAAUCAAAGGAGUAAUCCGCUAUGAGAUGGGCGCGUGGCCCAUUAGGUAGUUGGUGAGGUAACGGGUCACCAAGGCGACGAUCUGUAGCGGGUCUGAGAGGAUGAUCAGCCACACUGGGCCUGAGACACGGCCCAGACUCCUACGGGAGGCAGCAGUGGGGAAUUUUGGACAAGGGGCGCAACCCUGAUCCAGCAAUGCCGCGGGAGUGAAGAAGGCCUUCGGGUUGUAAAGCUCUUUCGGCCGGGAAGAAAUCGCACAGGCUAAUACCCUGUGUGGAUGACGGUACCGGCAUAAGAAGCACCGGCUAACUACGUGCCAGCCGCCGCCGUAA
rnacentral:rRNA from 1 species